rnacentral:rRNA from 1 species
CCUACGGGAGGCAGCAGUGGGGAAUAUUGCACAAUGGGGGAAACCCUGAUGCAGCGACGCCGCGUGAGUGAAGAAGUAUUUCGGUACGUAAAGCUCUAUCAGCAGGGAAGAAAAUGACGGUACCUGACUAAGAAGCCCCGGCCAACUACGUGCCAGCCGCCGCGGUAAUACGUAGGGGGCAAGCGUUAUCCGGAUUUACUGGGUGUAAAGGGAGCGUAGACGGCAGCGCAAGUCUGGAGUGAAAUCCCAUGGCUUAACCAUGGAACUGCUUUGGAAACUGUGCAGCUAGAGUGCAGGAGAGGUAAGCGGAAGUCCUAGUGUAGCGGUGAAAUGCGUAGAUAUUAGGAGGAACACCAGUGGCGAAGGCGGCUUACUGGACUGUAACUGACGUUGAGGCUCGAAAGCGUGGGGAGCAAACAGGAUUAGAUACCCUUGUAGUC